rnacentral:misc_RNA from 1 species
CCUUAAAGAAGCGUUCUUUGAAGUGCUCACACAGAUUGUCUGAUAGAUGUAGAGAAGCAAGGCGUCUUGCGAUUGAGACUUCAGUGUCCCCUUCGUCUAGAGGCCCAGGACACCGCCCUUUCACGGCGGUAACAGGGGUUCGAAUCCCCUAGGGGACGCCAGCGUUCAAACUGAUGAGGUCAAACCUCCAGGGGACGCCACUUGCUGGUUUGUGAGUGAAAGUCACCGGCCGUUAUAUCUCAAAACUGACUUGCGAGUCAUGUUUGAGAUAUUUGCUCUUUAAAAAUCUGGAUCAAGCUGAAAAUUGAAACACAGAACAAUGUAACGAUUGUUCGUGAGUCUCUCAAUUAUCGCAAUCAGAAGAGAAACAUCUUCGGGUUGUGA